AGAGUUUGAUCAUGGCUCAGAACGAACGCUGGCGGCGUGCUUAACACAUGCAAGUCGCGUGCGCAGUUCCGUAGCAAUACGGGAUGGGCGCACGGCGCACGGGUGCGUAACACGUGGGCGAUCUGCCCUCUGAUGGGGAAUAACCCGCCGAAAGGCGGGCUAAUUCCGCAUAAGAUUCCCGGAACUUCGGUUCUGGGAUUGAAAGCAGUAAUGCGUCGGAGGAGGAGCCCGCGCCCGAUUAGCUAGUUGGUGAGGUAACGGCUCACCAAGGCAAUGAUCGGUAGCUGGUCUGAGAGGAUGAUCAGCCACACUGGAACUGAGACACGGUCCAGACUCCUACGGGAGGCAGCAGUGGGGAAUCUUGCACAAUGGGCGAAAGCCUGAUGCAGCGACGCCGCGUGGGGGAUGAAGCAUUUCGGUGUGUAAACCCCUUUCGACUGGGAAGAAUGCCUCGCAAGAGGAGUGACGGUACCAGUAGAAGAAGCCCCGGCUAACUACGUGCCAGCAGCCGCGGUAAGACGUAGGGGGCCAGCGUUGUUCGGAAUUACUGGGUGUAAAGGGUUCGUAGGCGGUGCGGCAAGUUGGGAGUGAAAUCUCUGGGCUUAACCCAGAGGCUGCUUCCAAAACUGCUGUGCUCGAGUGUGAGAGAGGCUCGUGGAAUUGCAGGUGUAGCGGUGAAAUGCGUAGAUAUCUGCAGGAACACCCGUGGCGAAAGCGGCGAGCUGGAUCACUACUGACGCUGAGGAACGAAAGCUAGGGGAGCAAACAGGAUUAGAUACCCUAGUAGUCC
rnacentral:rRNA from 1 species